ACGACUCUCGGCAACGGAUAUCUCGGCCCUCGCAUCGAUGAAGAACGUAGCGAAAUGCGAUACCUGGUGUGAAUUGCAGAAUCCCGCGAACCAUCGAGUCUUUGAACGCAAGUUGCGCCCGAGGCCACUCGGCCGAGGGCACGCCUGCCUGGGCGUCACGC
rnacentral:rRNA from 2 species